UACGUAGGGGCAAGCGUUGUCCGGAUUUAUUGGGCGUAAAGAGCUCGUAGGCGGCUCGGUAAGUCGGAUGUGAAACCUCCAGGCUCAACCUGGAGACGCCAUCUGAUACUGCCGUGGCUUGAGUCCGGUAGAGGAGCAGGGAAUUCCUGGUGUAGCGGUGAAAUGCGCAGAUAUCGAGAGGAACACCUGCGGCGAAGGCGGGUGGCUGGGCCGACACUGACGCUGAGGCGCGAAAGCCAGGGGAGCGAACGGG
rnacentral:rRNA from 1 species